AACGCACAUUGCGCCCGUUAGUAUUCUGACGGGCAUGCCUGUUCGAGCGUCAUUUCAAACCUCAAGCCCCUGUGGACUUGGCUUUGGGGCUUCUGCUAGGCUUUAUGCUGCAGGCCCUUAAAACCGACGGCAGACCUGUUAGGCCUCUGAGCGCAGUAAACUUUCUCGCUUCUGGGUUCCUAGCAGGCACUCUCGCCUCAAUCUUACUUUAUAAUCAGUUUGACCUCGGAUCAGGUAGGAAUACCCGCUGAACUUAA
rnacentral:misc_RNA from 1 species